CCACCAAGGCUACGAUCCGUAGCUGGUCUGAGAGGACGAUCAGCCACACUGGAACUGAGACACGGUCCAGACUCCUACGGGAGGCAGCAGUGGGGAAUUUUGGACAAUGGGCGCAAGCAUGAUCCAGCCAUGCCGCGUGAGUGAAGAAGGCCUUCGGGUUGUAAAGCUCUUUCGGUGGGGACGAAAAGGUUUGUGCUAAUACCACGAACUAAUGACGGUACCCGAAGAAGAAGCACCGGCUAACUACGUGCCAGCAGCCGCGGUAAUACGUAGGGUGCAGGCGUUAAUCGGAAUUACUGGGCGUAAAGCGUGCGCAGGCGGUUUGUUAAGACAGAUGUGAAAUCCCCGGGCUUAACCUGGGAACUGCGUUUGCAACUGGCAAGCUAGAGUGUGGCAGAGGGGGGUGGAAUUCCAAGUGUAGCAGUGAAAUGCGUAGAUUUUUGGAGGAACACCGAUGGCGAAGGCAGCCCCCUCGACUCACAAUG
rnacentral:rRNA from 1 species